UUUGCAUAAAAGGAUAAUAGUGCCUUAAUCAUAACGUGAUUCAUCAAUAACUCUAUGUAAUGCAUCCGUACCAUAGAAGAGAAAGGUAGAAAGGUAGUAAUUAGCAUUGUAGGGAUGCAAUCGACAUGUUGCACAUAGAAAUAUUAUAUUGUAAAUUAAUGUCUUGAAUGUACAGUAAGACGUCUUCCUGGUUGGUGUUUUGAGAGGAAAUAAAUAUGAAAGAAUAUGAAGAAAUCUUUAUUUUAAAUGAAAGCUCAAAGUGGACAAUACUGCUGAUUUGUCUGUAAAAUAAAUGUUUUGUUUUCUUGUUUUGAAUUGACUUUUAAAGAUGUAUUAUUUUAUUAUAACACCCGUUAAUAUCCCGUGAACUUAAGAUCCUUUAAAAUCGGAUUAAAGGUGCACUACGAGUUCCUGCACGGUCACUUGUGUUGAUGUGGCAAUUCUCUCCGACCAAUCAGCAGUCUGCAGUGAUUAGAGACAAUUCUCUCCGACCAAUCAGCAGUCUGCAGUGAUUAGAGAGGAUUCUCUCCGACCAAUUAGCAGUCUGCAGUGAUUAGAGAGGAUUCUCUCCGACCAAUCAGCAGUCUGCAGUGAUUAGAGAGGAUUCUCUCCGACCAAUCAGCAGUCUGCAGUGAUUAGAGAGGAUUCUCUCUGACCAAUCAGCAGUCUGCAGUGAUUAGAGAGGAUUCUCUCCGACCAAUCAGCAGUCUGAGACGAUUCUCUCUGAGGUAGUACUACAUAAAGUACCUGUUAGCAGGUACCUGGGACUUUUUAUUUCAAUGUAAAACCAGUAAAAGGCGAGUAGACGUCAUUGUAGACACAAAAACCUGGAAAACCAGGAUCAAGGUUGAAAAAAACCAAUGGGAAAAACAGAAUAAAAACAUUCACUUCACUACAGAUGAUUAUCUGUCUUUUUUCUAACGAUCUCAGAUAUUUGGGGGAAAAAAAGUACUUGUUAGCAGGAACCAGGGGCAAAAAAAGACGAGUAAAGUCGAGUAGAUACCGUGCAGUGGAAAGACGCCAUUACUGACUAGCUGUCACUUAGCCCCGCCCCCUCCCGCACCCAUCUUCUCAGUGAUUGGCUGGAGUGGUUUGUUGUUGUAUUUCGGGGCCCAUCCUGCGCAUUUAGUGUUUUUCUGAUGUUGUCUUCCGAGACCGGGGAAAGGAAGUGUAGUCGGGGGUGGGGGGGUAGUGAGCGCCUACGAUUGGAGACAAAAAUGCAGGAACUCAUAGUGCACCUUUAAUGCUCUGUUUGAAGCCUUUUAACACCACUGACUUUUGGUUUUGACAUUUUGUCUUUUACAAAAAGAGCUAAACAUGAAACUUAGCUGACUUGAAAGUCAAUUUUUCGUUAGUAGAACAAAAAAAAAAAAUUCAACUCACUAGGACAUUCAACAGAAUCUGAGCUUCUGAGUUUGAGAUGAAACAAGCCUGAGAGAAAGAUUGCAUAAAAAGAAGCUCAAAAUAAUAAUAAUCACAGACCUAUACCGGCAUGAGUGUAACAUAUGCAAUUAGUGUCCCUGUGUUUGAGGCCCGUCCUGUGUUCAUUCACCGAACUGUGUUU